rnacentral:rRNA from 1 species
AUUGAACGCUGGCGGCGUGCUUAACACAUGCAAGUCGAGCGGUAAGGCCCUUUCGGGGGUACACGAGCGGCGAACGGGUGAGUAACACGUGGGUGACCUGCCCUCAGCUCUGGGAUAAGCCUGGGAAACUGGGUCUAAUACUGGAUAUGACUCCACGGUGCAUGUCGUGGGGUGGAAAGCCUUGUGCGGCUGAGGAUGGGCCCGCGGCCUAUCAGCUUGUUGGUGGGGUGAUGGCCUACCAGGGCGACGACGGGUAGCCGGCCUGAGAGGGCGACCGGCCACACUGGGACUGAGACACGGCCCAGACUCCUACGGGAGGCAGCAGUGGGGAAUCUUGCGCAAGUGGGCGAAAGCCUGACGCAGCGACGCCGCGU